UAAACACAAUGUGGAACUCUGAGGAUGAAGACACGGGUGCCCCUUCUGGAAAGGAAUUAUUUCAAUAUGCCCCUGCACACUGACCCUGCAGCUACAGGAACCAGAGUGUCUGUGCAUCCAGGCUUCUUAGUAAAAGAUGAGAAAGUCUCUAUACGGUCAAAAUGCCUAAAGCAAGAUAAAAGAGAUCAUCAUACAAACAUUCAAAGAUGUGUGAUAAUGGUAAACUGAGCAAUGUCACCCCCAGAGAUGCUUACAUCCUAAAUCUGAGAACUUGUGAAUCUGUUACAUUCAUGGCAGGAAGCAACAGAGGCUGCAUAAACAUAAGGGUUGCCAACCGGCUUACCUCACUAAGAGCCUCCUAGAUUAUACCUGAUGAGCCCAAUGUAGCCCAAAGCGUCUUCUGAAGUGAACAAGGAUGACAGAAGGGACUGUGUCACAGUGAUUCAAAAUAGGAAAGACUCAAUCAGCUUGGGCUGUCAAGAUGGAAGAGGUUUGGUGUCAAGAAAUGAAGGCAGCAUGAUGAUGCUACAGAUGCAGAAAGAGACUGUCUUUUGUAGUCUCCAAAGAGGAGUACAAUUUUGUUGACACCUUGACCUCCAUGAUAUCUAUUCCGGACUUGUGACAUCCAGAACAAUAAAGUAAUGCAUUUCUGUUUAAGUAA